AAGUCGAGCUGGACCGUACGGGCAGCUUGCUCCCUUAGGUCAGCGGCGGACGGGUGAGUAACACGUGGGUAACCUGCCUGUAAGACUGGGAUAACCUCCGUGGCAAACCGGGGCUAAUACCGGAUGCUUGAUUGAACCGCACGGUCUCAAUUCUAAAAGGGGGCUUUUAACUUCCACUUACAGAUGGACCCGCGGCCCCUUACCUAAUUGGUGAAGUAACGGCUCACCCAGGCCACCAAGCGUAACCCACCUGAAAAGGUGAACGGCCACACUGGGACUGAAACACCGCCCCAACCCCCACCGGAAGCAGCAAUAAGGAAUCUUCCCCAAUGGACCAAAGUCUGAAGGAACAACCCCCCGUGGGUGGUGAAGGUUUUCCGAUCCUAAAACUCUUUUGUUAGGGAAGAACCAAUACCGUUCCAAUAGGGCGGCACCUUGACGGUACCAAACCGUAAAGCGAGGGCUAAGUACGUCCCAGCCGCCGGGGUAAUAAGUAGGUGGCAGGCGUUGUCCGGAAUUUAUUGGCGUAAAGCGCGCGCCGGCGGUUUAUUAAGUUUGAUUUGAAAGCCCGCGGCUCAACCGGAGGGUCAUUGAAACUGGGGAACUAGAGUGCAGAAGAGGAGAGUGGAAUUGCACGUGUAGCGGUGAAAUGCGUAGAGAUGUGGAGGAACACCAGUGGCGAAGGCGACUCUCUGGUCUGUAACUGACGCUGAGGCGCGAAAGCGUGGGGAGCGAACAGGAUUAGAUACCCUGGUAGUCCACGCCGUAAACGAUGAGUGCUAAGUGUUAGAGGGUUUCCGCCCUUUAGUGCUGCAGCAAACGCAUUAAGCACUCCGCCUGGGGAGUACGGUCGCAAGACUGAAACUCAAAGGAAUUGACGGGGGCCCGCACAAGCGGUGGAGCAUGUGGUUUAAUUCGAAGCAACGCGAAGAACCUUACCAGGUCUUGACAUCCUCUGACAACCCUAGAGAUAGGGCUUCCCCUUCGGGGGCAGAGUGACAGGUGGUGCAUGGUUGUCGUCAGCUCGUGUCGUGAGAUGUUGGGUUAAGUCCCGCAACGAGCGCAACCCUUGAUCUUAGUUGCCAGCAUUCAGUUGGGCACUCUAAGGUGACUGCCGGUGACAAACCGGAGGAAGGUGGGGAUGACGUCAAAUCAUCAUGCCCCUUAUGACCUGGGCUACACACGUGCUACAAUGGGCAGAACAAAGGGCAGCGAAGCCGCGAGGCUAAGCCAAUCCCACAAAUCUGUUCUCAGUUCGGAUCGCAGUCUGCAACUCGACUGCGUGAAGCUGGAAUCGCUAGUAAUCGCGGAUCAGCAUGCCGCGGUGAAUACGUUCCCGGGCCUUGUACACACCGCCCGUCACACCACGAGAGUUUGUAACACCCGAAGUCGGUGAGGUAACCUUUGGAGCCAGCCGCCGAAGGGGACAGAAGGGGGG
rnacentral:rRNA from 1 species